UCAGAUCAUCUUUCCGUAAUGCAGAAUUGGAGAUGCUCCUUGCUGAUGAGAAGCUGCAAGCAAAUGAUGCAAGUGUCCAUCAUGAAAGGGAGCUCUCUGAGUCUCAUGCAGACCUGGAAAUGGCCAUUUAUGAACUGCAGCAAGAAAAGAACAGGUGUGCCCAGAAGAACCUGCAAAUUGAGGAUCUGAAGGCACAGGUGGCAGUUCUGAAGACAGGUGGAGCCUG